GACGAACGCUGGCGGCGUGCUUAACACAUGCAAGUCGAACGGAAAGGCCCUACUUUUGUGGGGUGCUCGAGUGGCGAACGGGUGAGUAACACGUGAGUAACCUGCCCUUGACUUUGGGAUAACUUCAGGAAACUGGGGCUAAUACCGGAUAGGAGCUCCUGCUGCAUGGUGGGGGUUGGAAAGUUUCGGCGGUUGGGGAUGGACUCGCGGCUUAUCAGCUUGUUGGUGGGGUAGUGGCUUACCAAGGCUUUGACGGGUAGCCGGCCUGAGAGGGUGACCGGCCACAUUGGGACUGAGAUACGGCCCAGACCCCUACGGGAGGCAGCAGUGGGGAAUAUUGCACAAUGGGCGGAAGCCUGAUGCAGCAACGCCGCGUGCGGGAUGACGGCCUUCGGGUUGUAAACCGCUUUCGCCUGUGACGAAGCGUGAGUGACGGUAAUGGGUAAAGAAGCACCGGCUAACUACGUG
rnacentral:rRNA from 1 species